rnacentral:rRNA from 1 species
GACGAACGCUGGCGGCGUGCUUAACACAUGCAAGUCGAACGGUGAAAGGGAGCUUGCUCCCUGGAUCAGUGGCGAACGGGUGAGUAACACGUGGGCAACCUGCCCCAGACUUCGGGAUAACGCUUCGAAAGAGGUGCUAAUACCGGAUACGAACUCCUUGGGCAUCCUUGGGGUUGGAAAGUUUUUCGGUCUGGGAUGGGCCCGCGGCCUAUCAGCUUGUUGGUGAGGUAACGGCUCACCAAGGCGACGACGGGUAGCCGGCCUGAGAGGGCGACCGGCCACACUGGGACUGAGACACGGCCCAGACUCCUACGGGAGGCAGCAGUGGGGAAUAUUGCGCAAUGGGCGAAAGCCUGACGCAGCAACGCCGCGUGAGGGAUGACGGCCUUCGGGUUGUAAACCUCUUUCAGCAGGGAAGAAGCGAAAGUGACGGUACCUGCAGAAGAAGCACCGGCUAACUACGUGCCAGCCGCCGCUGUAAAAC